UGACUUGGUGAAUGAUUAAAGAAAUUAAGAUAUAUAUUUAAGAUUUGUUGCGAUUUUGCAAUUUCUCUGAGUGGAUUUAAAAUAUGGAUCGUCGAAUCGUGUUCCUUUUGAUGAUCCCUGCUGUAUUUUCAUGGACCUUAGUGAGCUUUAUUGAAAGGACUAAAGAGAAUUUGUGGAAGAUGGUGAGUAUCCCUGACUCGAGGUGCCUCUCUGGAUAUUCCAUACGCAAUGUCACAUGUGGACCUGGAGAAAAACGCUGCCCCAUUAACCUCACGUGCAAUACCCACCCAGCAGGAGAAUACGCUAUAUGUUGUAGACAUCCGUAAAUGAGAUGAUAAGAAUUAACGCAAAACCAACGAUAUGCAGAUGUUGAGACUUUUAUUUAUAUACUGUAAAAUAACUUAAUUUAUUGAACAAACGUUGUAAAUUAAGCGACAGUAGACUAGCAUGUAUUUUUGAUUAUGUUGACAAUGCAGAAUGAACUUCCUUGACAUCUC